UCCCACCCCAAUGUGCGGCCACCGGGCUAUCCAUCCUGGCUUGGUGUGGACUGGUCUGGACUCCCUCCAGCAUGGCCGCCCCCUCCAUCUCGAUCUGCGGCCGCGCUGAAAUCCACCGGCGAGAUCCAUUUCACUAUUAGCCGUGGGUCGGUUCAGUUUGUUGUUUGUCACAAGUCAGCUCCCUCCUUUGAACUCCUAUGAUGUCCCGUGAAGACCGGUUCAGUACAUGAAGAAGUGAAGUUCACUCUUGUUCUAAUUCUGGUGCAUCCAAAUUGCUUAAUGUAUUGACUUCAUAGUUCAUAUCUACCGUCUCCAGCCAACGGCACUGCAUCCUAAUUGGUGAAGUUCACAUCUCCUCCUACUUCAGUUUAGAUAUUCUUGCUAGGUGAAUUAGUCUUUCCGAUUUUGAUUUUCUUUGUUAACUGAAUUUUGAAGUUCACAAAUUGGAAAAUGUGAAGUUCAGAUAUAGGCACAGAGAUGCAACCAUUGCUCCUGGUACAUGGCCGCGUCAAUGACCUCACAACCAUACCCUUGCCUCGCUGCUGCUCUGAACUCCGGACGGUGAUGCUCGUAGUCGUAGAUGAUUUUGGCUAGUGGACCAAAUCCAAGUUCCGUGAUUCACUUUAUUGCCUGUCAUUCAAUAUAUGAAGUUUCCAAAUUUACUGUUAUUAAAGUUCAGUUUGUACUAGUGCUAAGUUCACUAUUUUCUUGGUAGAAAAAUGUAUUCUCUUGCAAGUUCGCUAGAGUUCUUUUGGCGCCUAACUUAGUAAGCGACAAAAGUUCACUUCUGUUAAUAUAAGCAGUUCAUUAUUCGUUGAAUUUGUGCCUUACAAGUGUUUGCUUCCAUGUAUAGACACAUGAAUUAUGUUUCUAAAAAUAAUUUCCACAAGAAGUUGCUCCUAAUUUACAAUUUUUUUGGCUUUGCAAUAGCCAAGGAUGUUCACUCAUUGUUUUUAACCGUUUCACUACCUGAAAAAUGGAAGUUCCUGUGUGGAAAAAUAUUCGUUAUAAAAAUUGCAUCUAUGGAGUUUGCACUUUGCUUCGAUCUUUAGUUGUCUGAAGUUCACUUCCUCCCUACCACGGAGUUCGUUACUAGUACAGGGCAAUUGCAGUUACUUAUAAUGCACUGUGGGUUCGUAGGUUCACUUUUUAUUUGCUAAAUGUUCAGUUCCUCUAUGAGGGGAAGCUCACUUGUUUUUAUCAUGUGUUAAAACUCAAAUAUAUCUUGUGAAUCAACUUCUAUAACAAUGCUGUUAUUCCAUUGUUUUUGUAGGUCAAUACAAUGAGCUUUAGAUAAUAAACUCUUAUCUUCUGUAUGGCAGGACCUUUGAGGCUCCUGAUGGCAAAGCAUGUUUGGCAUUUUCAAGAAAAUAAGUGUAUGAAAAUGAAGACCCUUUGCGUUUGGCAUAAAUGCAAGAUACAACUAUAGCAGCUGUUAGUUCACAUGAGCAAGAACGAGCUCUCUGUGAAUAUUGAGCUCUCUGUGCAGUUUUGUUCACCUCGCCACGGAACAAGUCACUAGUGCAGUUUUGUUCACCUCGCCACGGAACAAGUCACCGUCUAGCUCCUCUGACGUUCACGGGAUGCCAUGCUCCAGGAGAAGUUCACAUAUGGGAAAGUGCGACAUCCCAGGUGCACAUGGCAGAAGUUCACAUCAACUAUACUGUGAAGCUCGCCUCUUCUUUCCCGUGAAUUCGCCUCGUCAAUUAUUUUGUCAGCAAGUUCACAUCGCCCUCGUGAGGAAGUUCACCUAUUCUCUAUGCGGAAAUUUAGUUUUAUCCUAUCAGGAAGUGUAGUUUGUCAGCAUAUACGUUCAAGGUUAUUGUGACCCUUCUGUAACUUCCUCAGAGAGUGGUUUGCUCUUGACUUGGUUGCUUGGCAUUUUCUACCAUAUGUUCAACAUGGAUUUUUGUUGUUGCAUUGUGUUAA